GAGACACCCUUAUGGGGCAGGACUUGCUUCAGUGGGGCUUUGGUGCUCACUGAGUCUGCCCCUUGUUUGUGUCUCU
rfam:Myotis brandtii contig155102, whole genome shotgun sequence.